rnacentral:piRNA from 1 species
UAAGGCAUUGCUAACGAAUUUACGAAACUUU